rnacentral:rRNA from 1 species
GACGAACCGUGCGAACGUUGUUCGGAAUCACUGGGCUUAAAGGGCGCGUAGGCGGGCGUCCAGGCCCGCGGUGAAAUCCCCCGGCUCAACCGGGGAAGUGCCGCGGGGACCGGACAUCUCGAGUGAGGUAGGGGUGCGCGGAACUGUGGGUGGAGCGGUGAAAUGCGUUGAUAUCCACAGGAACUCCGGUGGCGAAGGCGGCGCACUGGACCUCCACUGACGCUGAUGCGCGAAAGCCAGGGGAGCGAACGGG